GAUGAACGCUAGCGGCAGGCUUAAUACAUGCAAGUCGAGGGGUAGCAAGAUUGUAGCAAUACAAUUGUUGACGGCCGGCAAACGGGUGCGGAACACGUACACAACCUUCCUACAAGUGGGGAAUAGCCCAGAGAAAUUUGGAUUAAUACCCCGUAACAUAGCGAUGUGGCAUCACAUUGCUAUUAUAGCUUCGGCGCUUGUUGAUGGGUGUGCGGCUGAUUAGAUAGUUGGCGGGGUAACGGCCCACCAAGUCUACGAUCAGUAGCUGAUGUGAGAGCAUGAUCAGCCACACGGGCACUGAGACACGGGCCCGACUCCUACGGGAGGCAGCAGUAAGGAAUAUUGGACAAUGGACGCAAGUCUGAUCCAGCCAUGCCGCGUGAAGGAUUAAGGUCCUCUGGGUUGUAAACUUCUUUUAUAAGGGACGAAAAAAGGUCUUUCUAGAUCGUCUGACGGUACCUUAUGAAUAAGCACCGGCUAACUCCGUGCAGCCGCCGCCGUAACAC
rnacentral:rRNA from 1 species